rnacentral:rRNA from 1 species
AUGUUCAAAAAAACAGAAAGCUUAAGCAGAGCGGAAGGCCACAACUCAGAGCAAUGGGUGCUUAAGCUGCUGCCACUCAGUGAUGCCUCGGCAAGAAGACCAAUCGCAGGGAGAUGUGCCAUGGCAUGUCCUGAAGAGGCAAUCAGAUAUUUCGGUGGCCUCAAGCCCUCAACCCUCUGGAUCAUCCGUCCGUUGUGCAUGCUCUCAUUUGGGUUGCCGAGGGACACCUCCUCCUGUGGCGCUCUUGUCCAAUUUUUUGUUUAUGUAAAAAAUUCUUACCAUCGCCUCACCUAUUUGGACAAUUAG